AGGACGAACGCUGGCGGCGUGCUUAACACAUGCAAGUCGAGCGGAAAGGCCCUUCGGGGUACUCGAGCGGCGAACGGGUGAGUAACACGUGAGUAAUCUGCCUUCAGCUCUGGGAUAGCUCCGGGAAACCGGGAUUAAUACCGGAUAUGACCACUUCGGACAUCUGUUGUGGUGGAAAGUUUUUCGGCUGGAGAUGAGCUCGCGGCCUAUCAGCUUGUUGGUGGGUAACGGCCUACCAAGGCGACGACGGGUAGCCGGCCUGAGAGGGCGACCGGCCACACUGGGACUGAGACACGGCCCAGACUCCUACGGGAGGCAGCAGUGGGGAAUAUUGCGCAAUGGGCGGAAGCCUGACGCAGCGACGCCGCGUGGGGGAUGAAGGCCUUCGGGUUGUAAACCCCUUUCAGCAGGGACGAAGCGGAAGUGACGGUACCUGCAGAAGAAGCGCCGGCUAACUACGUGCCAGCAGCCGC
rnacentral:rRNA from 1 species